AGGUCAAGCUACUAAGGGCGUACGGUGGAUGCCUUGGCGUUUGCUGGCGAUGAAGGACGUGGAAGGCUGCGAUAAGCCAUGGGGAGCCGCCAAACAGGCCUCGAUCCAUGGAUUUCCGAAUGGGGAAACCCGGCCUGGAUAAUACCAGGUCAUCCAACACUGAAUACAUAGGUGUUGGAGGCGAACUCGGAGAACUGAAACAUCUCAGUACCCGAAGGAAAAGACAUCAAUUGAGAUUCCCUCAGUAGCGGCGAGCGAACGGGGAAGAGCCUAAACUGCUCGAGUGCCAAGCCCACAGGCGUUGCUCGAGCAGGGUUGUGGGGCUCGCUUUCCUGAAGCUGUGGCUUCAGGCGCAAGUCAAAAACAAGACGAUAGCCAAACGGUUCUGGAAAGGCCGGCCAGAGAGGGUAAUAGCCCCGUCGGCGACAUCGACUUGUCUUGCGAGGCGAGUUCCCGAGUACGACGGGACACGUGAAAUCCUGUCGGAAACUGGGAGGACCAUCUUCCAAGGCUAAAUACACGCAAACGACCGAUAGUGCACAAGUACCGUGAGGGAAAGGUGAAAAGUACCCCUUUAAGGGGAGUGAAAUAGAACCUGAAACCGUAUGCCUACAAGCAGUGGGAGCACGAUGCCCUUUUGGGCCGUGUGACUGCGUGCCUUUUGCAUAAUGAGUCAGCGAGUUGCGUUUGGCAGCAAGGUUAAUCCGCUCAGGAGAAGCCGCAGGGAAACCAAGUCUUAACCGGCGACAAGUUGUCAGGCGCAGACCCGAAACCGAGUGAGCUACCCUUGGCCAGGUUGAAGUUCCGGUAAAACGGAAUGGAGGACCGAACCCACUGACGUUGAAAAGUCAGGGGAUGAGCUGAGGGUAGGGGUGAAAGGCCAAUCAAACUCGGAGAUAGCUGGUUCUCCUCGAAACCUAUUUAGGUAGGGCCUCGAGACAAUCACCGACGGAGGUAGAGCACUGAAUGGGCAAGGGGGCUAACCGCCUACCAACCCCAAUCAAACUCCGAAUGCCGUCGAGUGUUACCUCGGGAGUCAGUCUGCGGGCGAUAACGUUCGUAGGCGAGAGGGCAACAACCCAGACCGCCAGCUAAGGCCCCUAAAUGACGACUAAGUGGAAAAGGAUGUGGAGGCACACAGACAACCAGGAGGUUGGCUUAGAAGCAGCCACCCUUGAAAGAAAGCGUAAUAGCUCACUGGUCAAGUGAAUCCGCGCCGAAAAUACACCGGGGCUUAAGUCGUCUGCCGAAGCUGCGGACUGUGCCUGUUCUACGGAACAAGUGCAGUGGUAGAGGAGCAUUCCAGUCGCCUGUGAAGGGAUACCGGUAAGGAGUCCUGGAGGUUCUGGAAGAGAGUAUGCUGACGUGAGUAACGUAAAGCCAGGUGAGAAACCUGGUCGCCGAAAACCUAAGGGUUCCUGGGCCAUGCUUAUCAGCCCAGGGUUAGUCGGGACCUAAGCCGAGGCCGAAAGGCGUAGGCGAUGGAAAGCAGGUUAAUAUUCCUGCACCCACACGCGAGACGUUGAAGAUGAGGGAUGACGAAGCACGCAAGGUUCGCCGGCGAUUGGAUGCCGGUUCAACCCCGCAGCCGCUGUAGUAGGAGGCCAUGGGCCACAAACGCUACGGCAUAAGGUCAGAGGGGAUGAGGAGCGCUCCGCUUUGGGAGCGCAUGUCAACGAAUUGUGGCGAUACUUCCAAGAAAAAUCUCGCAUCGGAGUCCGUGAGUGGCCCGUACCGUAAACCAACACAGGUAGGUAGGUGGAGUACACCUAGGCGCUUGAGAGAACCCUGGUUAAGGAACUCGGCAAAUUGAUACCGUAACUUCGGGAGAAGGUAUGCCCCGAGUACGUGAACGUCUUAACGACUGUAGCGGAAACGGGUUGCAGAGAGCAGGGGGUAGCGACUGUUUACCAAAAACACAGGACUCUGCGAACUCUAGAGAGAGGACGUAUAGGGUCUGACGCCUGCCCGGUGCUGGAAGGUUAAGGGGAGCGGUUAACACCUUCGGGUGUGAAGCUGCAAACCGAAGCCCCAGUAAACGGCGGCCGUAACUAUAACGGUCCUAAGGUAGCGAAAUUCCUUGGCGGGUAAGUUCCGUCCUGCACGAAUGGCGUAACGACUUCCCCACUGUCUCGACCAGGGACUCAGUGAAAUCGAACUAGCGGUGAAGAUGCCGUUUACCCGCGGCAAGACGGAAAGACCCCGUGAACCUUGACUGUAGCUUGGCACUGACAUUCGGGUCCACCUGUGUAGGAUAGGUGGGAGACAGGGAAGCCGGCGCGCCAGCGUCGGUGGAGUCACCCUUGAAAUACCACCCUGGUGGACCUGGAUGCCUAACUCACACCCCUGAAGCGGGGUGGAGGACAGUGUCUGGUGGGCAGUUUGACUGGGGCGGUCGCCUCCCAAAGAGUAACGGAGGCGCGCAAAGGUUGGCUCAGGCUGUACAGAAACCAGCCGAAGAGUGUAAAGGCACAAGCCAGCUUAACUGUGAGACAUACAGGUCGAACAGAUGCGAAAGCAGGCCUUAGUGAUCCGGUGAUUCCGAAUGGAAGGGUCAUCGCUCAACGGAUAAAAGGUACUCCGGGGAUAACAGGCUUAUCUCCUCCAAGAGUUCACAUCGACGAGGAGGUUUGGCACCUCGAUGUCGGCUCAUCACAUCCUGGGGCUGGAGUAGGUCCCAAGGGUUCGGCUGUUCGCCGAUUAAAGUGGUACGCGAGCUGGGUUCAGAACGUCGUGAGACAGUUCGGUCCCUAUCUGCCGUGGGCGCAGGAAAUUUGAGAGGAACUGCCCCUAGUACGAGAGGACCGGGGUGGACGCAUCCCUGGUGUACCGGUUGUCGCGCCAGCGGCACGGCCGGGUAGCCAUAUGCGGACAGGAUAACCGCUGAAAGCAUCUAAGCGGGAAGCCCCCCUCAAGAUCAGAUUUCCCUUCGGGUAAACCCGACUGUAGGUCCGUCGAAGACGACGACGUGGAUAGGCGUCAAGUGGAAGCAUGGCAACAUGUGGAGCUGAGACGUACUAAUCGACCAGGAGGCUUGACCUU
rnacentral:rRNA from 2 species